GGUAAACAUUGCUGGGGGUGGGGAAGUGCUCCAGCAGUGUAACUACUUAUAAUCUGCCCAGAGCGUUCCGGUGACACAGCUUCCGUGAAUUGACACUUGUGCUGGGAUGGCGUUUUCAGUGAUACAAUUCUCUGAGAGUCAGCCAUGCAGGAUGCUGAAGAGUGCUCUGUGGUUGUAGGAAGAAACCAGGAAAACUGCAGACAGAAGAGCAGAGAGCUGUCAGUGGAGGACACCAGCGCCCUCACCAUGCCCUCUCUCUCGAGUCCCAACAUUCUGCACUAUCCUCACCAAGAGACAGGAUGUGUUCAGAAAUUCUCAGCCCAAAAAGAGAUGCUGUGCUUCCUUCCAGAGCUGAGGACUCCUGCUUGCAGAAGAGAAGUGAGAUGAGCCACCUACAAGCUGCUGGCCUCUGAAAUGUAAUAACUGUGUGACAAAGAGACAUCGAGGAACAGUGGUAAGUCAGGAACCACACCCUGAAGGCCUGGGAAGACUCCUUAAUCUAUUUGAACUGGAAACCAAGUCCCAGUGUAAGUAGCCACCAUGUUAAUAGACUCUAAACUUGGAUUCCUAGAAAGUCAGAUCCCCAAGGAAGAGCUGCGUGUAUAUUUUUCUCAGCCACCUCCACAGGGGUGACAUGGAAAUUCCACUGCCUCCUGGUAAACAGGCACAUGGCUCCUAUGUCCUGGGACUGUCAUGUGAAAAGCUUAUGGGGAAGAACUGAGCAUGUGUGGGUCACACAGCAUUCUAGGGCUGAAGCAUCACGGAUCUGUGAUGUAAUGGCAGGAAACAACCGCUAUGUAUCUCACGGUGACUCUGCUCCUCUUCCAGCCUCACGAGACAAAGAGCCUCUGAUAGCCACAUGUCCUGAGGCCACAGCUCUUCCUCACUGGGACAUCUUUCCUUUUCAUGGCUCUUUGGUUAACAACUUCAAGCUCAGCUCAGUUUAAAAAGCCCAGGAAAACUCUGACAUGUCUGACACACAGUGAACCCAGGCAGUCAGGACAGAGGACUUGGGAAUACAAGUUCUGGUCAUCUUCACAAGUCAGAACUGACAGAAGGGCUUUGAGAGUCACUUUAGUAGGGCAAAGAUGCCACCAACCACCCUUGAGAAUGAUCUCUAUGAGGUAAAGACACUGUCAGCCACCCCAGUGCUAGUGGAAGGACAAGAUGUCCCAGGAACGGAGGAAGGAGAAGCCAGCAUGACCUUGUAGCUGGGAAAACUUGUCCUAUGAGCAGUCCAGAUUCUAGCUGGUGGAAGACACUCUCCAGCCACCACUAAGCAUAGUCACCAUUGCCCUUCCUCCUGUAGCAAGAGAAUAUACCACUCACCAUUUUCAACACAUCUUAGUUUCUAGCAAACUUUAUCAAUUACCUUUAUCAAGGUUUCUGUUGUCUUAUUUCAUGACAUCCUGUUCAUCCUGAGGCCACAAAUGCCCACUGUCCUAGUUUGUUUCUAGUGCUGUGAUGAAUACCAUGACCAAAAGCAACUUGGGCGAGGGAAAGGUUUCUUGCAGCUUCCAGGCCAGGAACCUAAGGCAGGAACCUGGAGACAGAAACUGAAGCAGGAAUCAUGAAGGAACGAUGCUUAUUGGCUUGCUCUCCAGGGUUCACUUAGUUUGCCUUCUUAUACAGCUAGGACAACUUGCAGACAGGUGGUACCACUCAAGGGGGCACAGCCCUUCCACAUCUAUCAUCCAUCAAGAAAAUGCCCCACAGACUUGCCUACAGGGUCACUCUGGUGGAAGCACUUUGUCAGUUGUGUCAAGUUGACAAAAAACCUAACGAGCAUAUCCACACACCCACAGCCUGGCAGCCCUGGAGUAACUUCUGCCCAGUGGGGGCCAUGUAAAUCCCACCUCCUUGCCAUAGCAGCUUCUUACAGCAGUCUUCAGGAGGAAGAAAAUUUAAGGGAAACAAAGCCAAGCAAUUGCCAGCAAAACAGAGGAGGAACAUGCACUCCUGGCCUUUACCAUUUUUAAUGAUUUAAAUCUCAACAGUUUAUUUAAUGUAUUGUCUGGCAAGGGUUUUCAGUUUGCAAUGAACCUGUUCGGGACAAAAGCUUCCAGCUGAUGGAAAUUUCUACUAUGCUCCAUAACGCUGACAAUGAAUGGGAAGACUGUAGGAAUGAUCUGUGGAUCUGAACCGUUCACCAAGGGUCCAUCUGAAAUCCUGGAUUCAUGAAAACCAGGAGACACAAUCUUCCUCCAAUGCUCCAAUGUAUACUUAAAGGAAUUGGUGAUGGCUUGGGAAGGUGGCUUGGUCAGUAAAGUGUCUGCCUUGCAGGCACGAGGACCUGAGUUCAAUCCACUGCACUCAUGGCCACAGGGUCACUUUCCAAGGGAAUCCUACGAAGCAGGAGCAAGUCAGCUGUGUCUUCCUUCUGUGCUCUUCUUGGCUGGAAUAUCCUGUGGCAGAGGCUGUGGCCUGAGAAUGACACUUUAGUGGAUCUGGAAGUGCAGUGGCUGUGGCUGCCCCCUACCCCAACUCUCCUUGCAUCGUGUCCCCAUGGAUCUUCAGAGGACCUCAUGGCUAGCACUGCUGGGGUGUGAUACCACUGCUGUCAGAAAGUUGAUGCACGACAUCAAGUGGAUGCAUGGGACAAUCUCUAGACAGUCUCUAAAUGAAAAACAUGAAAUUUAUGCUUGGAAUAGCGCUGUAAAGUAUUUGAAGCUGGGUGUGGUGUUGUAAGUCUGUAAUCCUAGCACUGGAAAAGAGAACAAGUUCAAGAAAAUCCUGGGCUGUAUCCUCCCCACAACACACACACACACACACACACACACACACACACACACGAGAGAGAGAGAGAGAGAGAGAGAGAGAGCACUUGGCAAAUAAAAAGUGAGAGGAACAAAACAGAUAGGACAAACAUAAAACAAAUAGCAAGACUUUACAGUAAUUAUAUUAAAUGUAAAUGGCACAAAUUCAAAGGGAGAACAGAUCAUGUUACAGAGAUGAAACCUCUCUUGUGUAUAAGAUUUAAAUUUGAGAUUUCAUGGCUUUCCUUUGGUAUAUCUUAGUUUAUGGGGGAAAUCUCUCAAGCGAGCACCUAUUUUUAAUGGGAUAAAUUUAUACUCUGUACCAGAAAGGAAUUAAAUUGAGAAGUCUUACAAUUUUGCAGAAACUAAAUAUGGUAAAACAUUCAGAAGAACCAUAAAUAGAUAUGGUUCAUUUGACACAUUUUAUCUUAUGUUUGCAGAAGAAAUGUACUCUCAAUGAAGGCAUAAAGAUGGUUUCCAUGGAGACACUUGGUCUGAGAGGUUUACACAUUGAUACAUGAACAGCAGAGUAAAGAUUGUCUUCUACUUUGUAGACAUGAGGUUGAGAAACACCUCAACACAUACCAUGGCCAGCAGAAAAAAGCCAGUGGAAGGAAUGUGCACUUUAAAAUGUACUGAGUGCCAUUUUAGGAAGAGUUGAUAGUGGUAACUUUAAAAAUAUAAAUGUUGAGAUAUAUUGUGAAACUCUGUUUAAAAGCAAAUAAACAAAAAAAGUCAGGCAUGAUAGUGGUACAUGCUUUUUAUCCCAGGAGAUAAACGCAGGUAGAUCUCUGUGAGUUCAAGGCCAACCUGGUCUACAUAGUGAGUUCUAAGCUAUAUAGUGGGACCCUGUCUCAAACUUUAAUUAAUUAGUUAAUUUAAAAGAUAAAUUUCAUGGAAGAAGUUUAAGGUGGGACUAGAGAGAUGGCUUAGCAGUUCAGAGUGAUUUCUGUCACUCCCCGUUGCUUAAUUGUUGAAUAAUAUCCCUCUCUAAUGCAGGGAGCCCUUACUGAGAGCAGCCAUAUUGAUCAGCUUUGUAAGUCAAAGGAUUAGGGACACACUACUACUAAGCACAAUGAGUGAUCAGUCUCCCAUCAGAAGUUUCCAUAAAAUAUUACACUGAAGCCUCAAAUGGCCUGGUCUUAGAAGAACUUCCCCCACAACCUCCACUAUCAGCACCAGCUGGUCCAUAGACCAGUGAGGAUGCUCCUAAAACCCACCCAUUCAAAAGCUAUGAAAACCACAUUUGUGUAUGAGAUGCCUGGUUGUCCCAAAAAUGUUUGUCACUCUGCUGAUAGUGAUCAGAUACAGAUGCAGAGGAUCCCACUCACAGGAGGUGUGAAUGGGGGACCAGGAACUGGUGGCAUUACUAAGCUAUUGUAGCUACAGUAUUCAGAGCCCAGAGUCCCCAAGGAGCUCAGCACCCCAGGCCCCUCCCCCCCAAAAACAAUUCAGCUAUCAUGUGGAAGAGUCCCCCAUAGUCCCUAGGACAAGCUGUUGACUCAGGCCCAACAAUUCUCCAUGCCCAAGUGGCUCCUGGGGUCAGGGCUAGCUUCAACUUACUUUCCCACAAGAAUAGGAAUAGGCUCAGAGCUGCAGAACACCUGAGAUGAAGGUAAAGAACUGCUGUGUUUAGGGUUUCUGCAGCCAGGAAGGCCAAAUCCAGUCCCAGUAUGUUGGGGGCCCCCAAUUCCCUUCCUCGGGGAGCCUGAGAGCAUUUGGCUGCUCUAUUCCUCCUGAAGCUUUCCUAGAAGAUGUGGCUUGUUUUAGAAGGUGAGCUGGGGAGACACUGCUUAGCUUAGCCUGUGUCCCCUUGUUUCUGAAGGGGCCUAGGCAUUAGAUGUCUGUCCCUCAUCUUGUCCAAUGCCAAGUUGGACUGGCUUCCAGUUCAUCUGAACUGGUUUGGCAUCAUCUCCUCAGAUCAGCCUGGCUAGCAAGUCCAGACACACAAAUAAUGGAAUAAACCCACCCAUAUGUCCAGGGCCACUGAAAAUGCUGAGCUCCCACAGGACUGCUUAGAUGGGCCACUCCUCAGGACCAGGACGAGUCCUCCCUCCUGCCAUGGAGUUAUGCUCCUGGUCAGAGUUGUCCAGAGUAUGGUGGGCAGCCCCAACUCUGCAGCCUGUGAAGGGUCCUUGUGGCAGGCACACUCUGACCCUCAGUGGCCACCACUGGGCUAUCUGGAGCCAUGUCCUAAUGUGGAAGCCAUACCUUCCACCAGACCAUAUUUUUAAUGAGGAAUUAAAUGUAGCUGCAGUUAAACAGCCACAGCCUGAAAACGACUCUUGCCCUCUUUUAAUGCUUUUAAAUAAACUCAUUUGUUGAAAUUUAA